GGAACACAGCAUCCCAGGAUGCAUCCGAGAUCAAACACAGGGCACAACCAGGACCAGAGGCCACGUCUCUUAAGUCAGCGUUCUUUCUGCAGAUUCCAUUACGUCCUGAAACAACCCUGCUCUGCCUUGCAAAAGCAGCACUGCAAGAUGACAGCUCUGCAGGCCAGCAAAAGCCACACCCCACCAGGAUGUAAUGGCAUUACCUGUGGCCCAAGCCUUGAAGAUCUCUCAGUCUGCCAGGAGUCUGAUACCCCCAGAAAUUUAAGGCAGAGGCAUCGCUGGCAUCUUUGCUACCAAAUCAGAUCAUUCUUCCCCAGAACGAACUUCAAUGUCAUCUUUUAGCAUACAGGAUCCAUUCUUUUACCAGUUCCUUCUAAAAGCUCUUGCAAGAGGAGCUCACAAAAGCUGGCAUCCUGACCCCCAAAUGGAUCUCUGUCCUUGCUAGCAGCCCCUGGUACACAGUAAGAAGAAAAUCCUAUCUCACUUCCGCGAAGGUGAAAGACCUCAGACCAUGAAUCCUCUCGGCACUACGCAGGCAUCUUCAAUGCAACGUCACUUCUGGAAACUGGAAAGCAGGCUGGAAUGGUGUGACCAUCCAAGAGCAAGGCUGCCCCCCCCGCCCCCGAGAGAGAAUAAAGGAAGCCUCCGCCACAGUUCCCCGGGCAGCAGUCAGGCUUUGGAAAAGCACAAGUAACCCAACGAAGUCGUCUGAUGUUGCUGAAAGAUUGCUGUCACCCUUGUAGAUGCUCAUCA